GGCAGCUGGUCGGUGAAACAAGGUCAAACUAUAACAUGUCCAGCUGUGUGCAACUUUCAGACUGGAGAGUACAUUGUGGUACAUGACCAUAAGGUUUUGAGAAUAUGGAAUCAUGAAGACGUAAACCUGGAUAAAGUAUUUAAAGCUACGCUGUCAGCUGAGGUCCACAGGAUCCACUCAGUACAAAGGACAGAACCACUGGUGCUGUUCCGAAGAGGAGCUGCUCGUGGGUUAGAGGCCUUGC